GGAAGUAAAUGUCGUCACAAGGUUUCCGUAGGUGAACCUGCGGAAGGAUCAUUACCGAUUUUAGCGAACCUAACCUUUGGUUAUGGUCUCGCGAAAACUUUGUAUUUAAAACCCCACUCUUUUAUAAAUUGAAUCAUUCAUUAUUAUGUAUAAUAAAUAAAGAUCACUUUCAACAAGGGAUCUCUUGGCUCUCGCAUCGAUGAAGAACGUAGCGAAGUGCGAUAAGUAGUGUGAAUUGCAGAAUUCCGUGAAUCAUCGAAUUUUUGAACGCAAAUUGCGCUUCCUGGCAUCCCGGGAAGUAUGCCUGUUUGAGGGUUAGUAUUAACAAAAAAUCGGUUUGGUUGCAAAUUGUGACGUUUCCGGAGUUUGGGCUACCUUAACGUUUUUGGUUAAGGGGCUUAAAAUUGACCUUAUUUGCGCAUUUUUAGACGUACAUAAAUUAUUUUUUAUUCGUCUAUUCUUAAUGCCAAAAUCUUAUUAGAUGCGAUCACAUCGUGUGGUUUCCUGUCCAUAAAAUUUUCAAGAUUUGACCUCAAAUGAGGUAGGAGUACCCGCUGAACUUAAGCAUAUCAAUAAGCGGAGGA
rnacentral:rRNA from 1 species